CCCAAGGAAGAUGAAUUGGGCUGUUGACUCUGAGCAGAAGGAGACUGAGAGCCUCUGCCUCUUCCAGAAGCAAGGCACUGCCUGGUGCCCGCGUCUUGGAAUGUGCUGGCUUCAUUGCUCUGACAGCAUGAAGGAUGUUUGGUUUUGUUCCCAGUGCUGUUAUCAUUUAUCAUCCUUUUGUAAAAGCUGGCACCCUCCACCUGUCCCCUCUUCCUUCUCGCUGUCUCCCAAUCCCCACCUCCAAUCCAACCUCCCCAUCCUGCCUGUAUCCCCUGCCUCUGAGGGGGACCCUCUCGUAUUUCACCCUAGGGAGAAGCCUCCCACAUUGGUUUCCAGAAGCCCAAGAGACACCCAAGUUGAAUUCAACACAGUUCCUGAGCAAUUCCUGUGGGCAAACUACUGUGCUUCGGAUGGUAAAAGACCCUGACUUCAGGCACCUUGCAUUCCAGCAAGGAAAUAACCAUGAAGCUCCUCACAGCAAAACACUGGCAUGCAUUGGGAGAGAUGGAGGAGAACCACACGUCCAGAGAGUCUGGGAAAGGCAGAGCCUAAGAGCCUUUUAAAGAAUAGAAGCAGGAGGGUGGACGAUGGUGGAAGACAGAGGCGUGGACAAAGACUGAGCGUGGAGAUCUUCAGGAAAAGAUGGCUGAGAACACAAAGAAAGAGAUAAAGUCACAGCUGGAAGAGAAGCUGUCAGAGAUGUAUCUGGGCAUCGUGGAUUUUCUCCGGGAAUCCUACAAGGAUGGUGGCUGGUCUGAAACAAGGCAUGGCAGUUAAGAGAAGGGGCUUGAAAUGAGCCCGUACACAUCUGGAUUCAAAUCCGUGCUCUAUGACUGUAAGCAAGUUGGUUAAGCUUUCUGAAGCUGAAAGCUCCCAUAAAACGAAGACGGCGGCAUGUACGUCAAACACUCGUGGGGAAUGGAGGGGACAACAUGUGUCAAGUGUCCGGGAUACAGUAACAUCCCAUUCAUGUAACCUGUUAGCAUCGAGACAGGGUCUGAUCAGUUCACUGCAAAGCUGGGGAGGGAGUUGGCUGGCUCCGGGCCACACCCCCAGGAAGGGCAGAGCGGGGACUCCUGAGCCGAGGCCAGUUUGAAUCCGAAGUUCCUGCUUGGCCCCGGAGCCAAUCCGUUGAGGACAGAAAGCUUGAACCACCGUGUCUCAGUGGGAGAGACAGAUCUGAUGAUGUUCCUCCCUUGCUUCAAACUCAACCAGGUUUCCCCUUUGUGCUGAGAUAGCGACGUCCUGAACAGGCUGUCCAAGUCCCGGGCAGGCUGGCCCCUCUUCUUUGCCUCUCUGCUGCCACCCACCAAUCAGACGGUCUUUUCUUCCGGUGUCUUGAGCAAGCCUGGAACACCUCUUUCUCUCUGUCUCGGCCUGGACAGCUCCCUCUUUUCCUGAAACACCCUGCACGGCCUCCCCUCGCUCCCUCCACUUCAAAUUUCAGUCUCUGCCUGCUUCUGCCGUGUGGCUUCCGUGGCCAAACCUCCCCCGUCCAAAGGCUGCUUUGGUCCCUUGUUACCUGCUCCCGCUCUCAGGUGUCACAGAAAGUCUCCCGCAUAAGAGACCCUUGCAAACCGCUAGUUCGAAGUUCAUCUCCUCUGCCAAAGCAGCAGCACCCACCGUGCUCCCCGGAUCUCGCUCCUUGCCAGGUGAUGAAUGAAUGUGCAAAGACGGCAGGCCGAAGUGACCAGAAUCGCUCAGGAAAAACGAGGGUGGCACACCUGGGAUUGGAAAGGAUUUGCCUUUCUGGGUGUUUGCUGAGAGAAGAUACAACUCCCUGCCUGUGAACUUGGAGGCGGGUCCCCGGAAGGGCUCGUCCCGGUUCUGUGCAACUCUCAUGUGCCUGGCCAAGCCCACGGGCAGGGGUCCUCUGGGAUUCCAGAGGCUUCUGUCCUUUGGGUGCAAAGUGAAUUUGCAACAGAGGCAGAAUAAAGUGUCAGAGGUGGUAGGGUCUUCACUCUUCCUCCACCUGGCCCCCGACAUACCCUCUGCGAGCGAGGAGAUUUUGCUCCCUGGAUCAGCUUCCGGCCCUCCCUCAGCUCCUGCAGGAGAGUGGAAGGAAGUCCGGAGGCUAAGCCGGCCUAGGCAAGGAAGAGCCCCCGAGGCUGAGCCGGGCAAGCUGGGGCAGUCUGGAGGUGCCCGAGAGAGAUCUGCGGGAGCGGCUCUACACAGGGCAGAGAGACAAGGAGAGAGGUUUCUGAUGAAGCUUUGCAGCACAUUAAAAAUGUGAUGUCCUGCAAAUGGUGUGGACCAAGCUGAGGGGAGUAGAGAUUUGGGGCACUUUGAGCUAUUCUGUGGCUCGCUGGAUUGUUGUUUUCUUUAGUAGUGAGUGGCUGGGCACUGGGGCUUCGUCUAGGACUUCUAUUUAAUGCAGGGCCUUAAGAAUGGGCCCCGGAGUGGAAAUGCAGUCCAUUCUCUAGUCUUCCUGGGCCAGCCAAAGAGCCUGGCUUGCCCCCUCCUUUCUACCCUGUUUUGGCCUUGCUCCAAGCUUGAUUGUGAGGGCUUGUCACGUCUGCCUGUGGGAGGGUCUGGUUUUCUCUCUUCUCCACACGGGAAGUGGGGAGAGACUCUUCAGGACCCAAAUGAGAGCCCCGGUGCCUUCACUUUGCCUUGUGACAGCUGCCAAAGGGCUUUUGGCACAGAUGGGCUGGGCAUUUGUCUGACUGCUUUUGAGGCUAGAGAGAGGGUGGUGGCUGGGCAUGAGAGGGAAUUCAUGGCUGACAAAGAUCCUGUCUGAACAUCUGUGAUCAAUGAAGUUCAUUCACUGCUCCCUAUUACCUGCCCCUAUGGCCUGCUGCCUUCCUGGUGUCUCUGCCUGCCUCAGCAGCAUCUCCAACUUAACGUGGCUGAUUCUCUGAUUCUCCCACCUGGCCCCCGGACUUGCCUUCUCUGCUUCUUUCCAUCUCAGUGGAUGACAACCCUGGUGGCUUCAAAUUAGAUCCAGGACCCAAGUGUUUCUUCAUACCUGCUCUCCUCUGACCCUGGUCCAGGCCAUUCACCUCAUCAGUGGUCUCCUGGUUGGUCUUAUCAAUCCAGCAGCCAAAGUCUCCUGUUGAGAUGUGCAAUCAUGGCGUUCCUCUAUUCAAAAUCUUUCAGUUAAGAAUGAAAACCUCACUUACUAUGGCCUCAUGUUCCCUGUAUGACUUGUCCCAUUCCCGCUUGCCUCAACCCAUUCCACUUCAGCCACACUUGCUUCCUUGAUGUUCACUGAACACACAUGGCAUACUGCUACCUCAGGGCCUUUGCACAUGCUGGUCCUGCCUGGAGAGCUUUUUAUCUGGAUACCCACAUGGCCCUCACUUUCUUCACCUUACUAUUACACAUGACAUUCUCACUGAGGCUGCUCUGACCAUUCCUUUUAAAAUUGUAUCCUGCCUCCCCAUUCCUGAUCCCCCAUACCCUGCUUUUUCCUUCAUGGAACUUACCUAACAAACUAUGUAAUUUGGUUAUUUAUUGUGCUCAUUGUCUCUCUCUUCCUCUCACUAGAGUGUGCGCUCCAUGAAAAAAGAGAUUGUGCUUGUUCUCUUUACUGAUAUAGUCUCUAUGCCCAGAACAGUGCCUGGCACAGGGCGGACCCUUGGUAAAUAUUUGUUGAAAGAAUGAAUGACCCUAAGUUGUAUUUUCCCCUUUCACUUCUUUGGUAACAAAAAGGGGAGAUUAUUUGGAGAAUGAAUGAAGAGAGAUAAAGAUAUGAAUGAGGUUUAUUAGCUAGUCUGAUCACAAUUAUCCAUACAGAUGGGAAGAAUUAGUACAGAAAAUCCUAAAAUACAGAUAGUCCGAGAAGUAUUUCUAUUUUGAUUAUGUUAUGUGAUGUUAUGAUUGGCACUUUCCUAUUUUUUCUUAAGGUGGCAGCAUGAAUACCAGCUGUGUGUUUGUGUUUGUGUCUGUAUGUGUUAAGUGUGUAUGCAUACACACCUGUGAGGUAGUGAGGGGAAAUUAUAUUGGGAAAUUACCUAAAAAUAAUCCACAAACUGGGUACUUUCAUUCUUACAAAACAUUUCAUGAGUAAGACUUGCUAAGUAUCAAGUUCAAAGACUAUGUGAAUACGAUCUUCCAAGAGCUUCAGGAAACUUACAAACAGUUCAUUGAAAGUUGACCAGAGCCUGAACUACCCAUGUAUAUGAGUUCUGUGGGCAUCAAGGUUGGCUGGUUGUCUUCUAAACUUCCAAUUCUACUCUUCUUGUGUAAUAGCUGGACAGUUAAGGGGGACUAGUGCUCCCCUGAAGCUGGUACAAGUGAUCCUUUAAGAGAAAAGCACAAGAGCCAUUCGGAUUAAGAAUGA